CUAAAGGUUGCCUAUCACUGGUGUAUACCAGAACAUUCCCUCAAACAGGUGAAGGGACACAGGGCCGAGAAGAUAGCUCUAUUUUCCACCGACGGUAAAGGAAGUCCCGCUUUACAGAUGGAAGCAUGUCUGGGCCUGGUGCUUAUGCCCUAUGCUGUCUAAUGGCAAUCCAGCUAUGUCCUCUAGCAGUUUACAUCUAUAAUUCCAAAGGGUUGUCCUUUAAAAGUCUGUAUGUUCGUUUGAGC